AGAGUUUGAUCCUGGCUCAGAGCGAACGCUGGCGGCAGGCCUAACACAUGCAAGUCGAACGAACUCUUCGGAGUUAGUGGCGGACGGGUGAGUAACACGUGGGAACGUGCCUUUAGGCUCGGAAUAACUCAGGGAAACUUGUGCUAAUACCGAAUGUGCCCUUCGGGGGAAAGAUUUAUCGCCUUUAGAGCGGCCCGCGUCUGAUUAGCUUGUUGGUGGGGUAAUGGCCCACCAAGGCUACGAUCAGUAGCUGGUCUGAGAGGAUGACCAGCCACAUUGGGACUGAGACACGGCCCAAACUCCUACGGGAGGCAGCAGUGGGGAAUCUUGCGCAAUGGGCGAAAGCCUGACGCAGCCAUGCCGCGUGUAUGAUGAAGGUCUUAGGAUUGUAAAAUACUUUCACCGGUGAAGAUAAUGACUGUAGCCGGAG
rnacentral:rRNA from 1 species